rnacentral:lncRNA from 13 species
GUGUGUGGUAAAGGAUUAUCAGAGAUAACUGUAGUGACUUAAGGGAAUGUGUUUGAUAAGUACUGUAUGUGUGUGUGUCCUUCCCUCCAGAGCUCCUCACACAGUGCGUCCCACCUCAAACCUCCCAGUUCAAACUGAGGACCAGUUUUCUCCAGAAGAGAAGGAGAAACGGUGAGAAACACAAAAAGUGCAUCCCAAAAUGCAUCCCUAUUCCCUUUAUAGAGGUCUACUUUUGACCAGGGCCCUAUACUGUAUAGGGCCCUACAUAGGGAAUAGGGUGCCAUUUCAGAUGCAGCCUGCAAAACUCUUAUUUUACCUCAGGAAAUAUAUCUUUCUUUCUUUCUCUCUUUCACUCUUUCACUCUUUCUUUCUGUCUCUCUCUCGUUCUCUCUUUCUUUCUCUCUCGCUCUCUCCCUUUCUUUCUUUCUUUCUUUCUUUCUUUCUUUCUUUCUUUCUUUCUUUCUUUCUUUCUUUCUUUCUUUCUUUCUUUCUUUCUUUCUUUCUUUCUUUCUUUCCCUCUUUCACUCUCCAUCUCUUUCAUUCUCUCCAUCUCUCUCUCCAUCUCUCUAUUCCUCUGUUUGUGUCUUAUCACCUGUUCUCCUGUUCACCUGACAGUUGUACUGACAAACCACCAGAAACCUCCUUGACCACAGAUGUUACAUCUUUUGUGGCUAAAAGGGUGGUGAUCACAGACAAUGACGACUCUGUCUUCACUGAGACUCCCUCUGUCCCCAAAGAACCAGCUGCACUAUCUGUGAAAGGCGUCCCUCCUGUAUCUGUGAAAGAUGUCUCUCCUGUAUCUGUGAAAGACGUCCCUCCUGUGUCUGUGAAAGAUGUCUCUCCUGUAUCUGUGAAAGACAUCUCUGCUGUUUCUGUGAAAGACGUCUCUCCUGUAUCUGUGAAAGACGUCUCUCCUGUAUGUGUGAAAGAUGUCUCUCCUGUAUGUGUGAAAGAUGUCUCUCCUGUAUGUGUGAAAGACGUCUCUCCUGUAUGUGUGAAAGACGUCUCUCCUGUAUCUGUGAAAGGUGUCCCUCCUGUAUGUGUGAAAGGUGUCUCUCCUGUAUCUGUGAAAGACAUCCUCCUUUCAACCCCUGUCAUAGUUGACACCCCAGCAGUGAUUGACCUUUAUGAGGGCAUGAAGCCAGGGCGUACCAAAGUGGCCACUGAGCUGUCCCCAGAGAGUAGUGUCCUGUUGAAAGUGGUCUCCCCAGUGUCCCCUGUCCCAUACAAACCAGUGAAGACAGAUCCUGCCCCAGUGGACACUCUGACAGCCCUGUCUGACACACUCAUCUCCUUCGACACAGGUUCACCCAGCUCCAGAGUCCCUGACCCAGUAUGGACAGAGACAGCAGAGCCAGAGGACAGGUAGGAAACCACAGAGACACACUUCCUCAUUCACGUCAUAGUGGGUGAUAUGAAACCGGUUACAGUAGGUUACUAAUGACGUGUAUUCAUUAGGGCACACCGUACCAAACCGUAACAAAAUGCUUUGCAAUGAAAACUAGUGUUUAUUGGACACCUUCAGGUUAGUCCUUCCCUGUUUCAGUCGCUUCCGUUUGGUGUCUAGUGAAUACACCCCUGGUGUCAACGGUCAUUCUGUACUUCUACACUGAGUGAACAAAACAUUAGGAACACUUUCCUAAUAACGAGUUGCACCCCCCUCAGAACAGCCUCAAUUCAUUGGGGCUAUGGACUCUACAAGGUGUUGAAAGUGUUCCACAAGGAUGCUGCCCCAUGUUGACUCCAAUGCUUCCCACAGUUGUGUCAAGUUGGCUGGAUGUCUUUUGGGUGGUGAACCAUUCUUGAAUCACGUGUGAAACUGUUAAGUGUGAAAAACCCAGCAGUGUUGCAGUACUCGACACAAACUGGUGGAACCUGGCACUUACUACCAUACUCCGUUCAAAGGCAUUUAAAUAUUGUGUCUUGCCCAUUCGCCCUCUGAAUGGCACAUACAC